AGGAGUGAAAUCCGUAGAUAUUAGAAGGAACACCGAUGGCGUAGGCAGGUUACUGGGCCAUUUCUGACGCUAAGGCACGAAAGCGUGGGGAGCGAACCGGAUUAGAUACCCGGGUAGUCCACGCCGUAAACGAUGGAUACUGGCUGUUGGAGGUAUCGACCCCUUCAGUAGCGAAGCUAACGCGUUAAGUAUCCCGCCUGGGGAGUACGGCCGCAAGGCUAAAACAUAAAGGAAUUGACGGGGACCCGCACAAGCGGUGGAUUAUGUUCUUUAAUUCGAUGAUAACCGAAGAACCUUACCAGGGCUUGACAUCCAGGGAAGGUCUGCGAAAGUAGACUGUGCCUUUUGGAACCCUGUGACAGGUGGUGCAUGGUUGUCGUCAGCUCGUGUCGUGAGAUGUUAGGUUAAGUCCUUCAACGAGCGCAACCCUUGUGAAUAGUUGUAUUUUUCUAUUCAGACUGCCCCGGUAACGGGGAGGAAGGAGGGGAUGAUGUCAGGUCAGUAUUUCCCUUACGUCCUGGGCUAGAAACGUAAUACAAUGGCUAGUACAAUGCGCAGCGAAGCCGCGAGGUGAAGCAAAUCGCAUCAAAGCUAGUCCCAGUUCGGAUUGUAGGCUGAAACUCGCCUGCAUGAAGUCGGAAUCGCUAGUAAUCGCAAAUCAGCAAGUUGCGGUGAAUACGUUCCCGGGUCUUGUACACACCGCCCGUCAAACCAUGAAAGUGACCAACACCCGAAGUCCGAUUCGUCGGCCUAAGGUGGGGGGCAUGAUUGGGGUUAAGUCGUAACAAGGUAUCCGUACCGGAAGGUGCGGAUG
rnacentral:rRNA from 1 species